rnacentral:lncRNA from 12 species
GUCCAACUGCUCCUCCUGCAGGAUUUCCCAGCAGGGCUCAGGAGGUUUGCUCUGCUCCCGGGGACAGCACCUUCCUCCCGAGGCCCUGCUCUGCUGCCAAAGGGGACACAGCAGGAAAAGCAGAAUUGCCAUUCAGGUUUUUGGUUUUUUCCCAAACUGUGGAAAGUCUCCCAAUUCAGAUCCUUAUUUCGAGUCUCUGAAGCCUUGACACUGUCAGGUGUCCAACUGCUCCUCCUGCAGGAUUUCCCAGCAGGGCUCAGGAGGUUUGCUCUGCUCCCGGGGACAGCACCUUCCUCCCGAGGCCCUGCUCUGCUGCCAAAGGGGACACAGCAGGAAAAGCAGAAUUGCCAUUCAGGUUUCCUUCCAGCCACUCUGCCACGGGACCUGUGUUGUUUGUUUUUAGGGCAGCAGAUCCCUGUGCUACUGCUUUGAAUGUUCUUAACCAACCUUAGAGGGUGAUACCACACCCUUUCUCACCUGCUCUGCUUUAACUGCUCUCUGAGAUGAGGUUUGCCUGCAGCACCAGGGGGGCUCACCAAAUCUAACUGUAUCUUUUUUUCUCUCCCUUCUCAUGUGCAUCAUUGGAAGCUUCAUGAAGGUGAGUUGAUGUUUUUAGUUGGGAAGGUACUUUUAUCAAAAUUGCAAUAAUUUGUUUUUUGUUGUUCCUUUCCAUGAAACCCAAGAAACAGGGAUUGAAAGUGCUUUCAGUAAAAGGCAAAGGAC